rnacentral:rRNA from 1 species
AACGAACGCUGGCGGCGUGGAUAAGACAUGCAAGUCGAACGGGACACUUUUGGUAGCAAUAUUAAAAGUGUCUAGUGGCGGAAGGGUGAGUAACGCGUGAGUAACAUGCCCGGAAGUGGGGGAUAGCUCGCCGAAAGGCGAAUUAAUACCGCAUGUGAUAGCAAUAUCAAAGCCGCAAGGCGCUUCCGGAUUGGCUCGCGGCCUAUCAGCUUGUUGGUGAGGUAAAAGCUCACCAAGGCUAUGACGGGUAGCUGGUCUGAGAGGACGACCAGCCACACUGGAACUGAGACACGGUCCAGACACCUACGGGUGGCAGCAGUCGAGAAUUUUUCUCAAUGGGGGAAACCCUGAAGGAGCGACGCCGCGUGGAGGAUGACGGUCUUCGGAUUGUAAACUCCUGUCAUUUGGGAACAAAGCUGUUAAAGGCCUGAUAGUACCAAAAGAGGAGAGACGGCUAACUCUGUGCCAGCAGCCGCCGUAACAC